GCUGACUGGAAGGGGCCUUCUUAAUGGAUUCUCCUCCAGCUCACAUUCCAUGCUCCAGGUUGUGGGAACAACAGCUUGAAUUACGGAAAGAAGUUUCCCCACUGAGUUAAUCUGCAGUGGCUGGAGGUGACCUUCUGGAGACGGCGAUUAAUCACGGGCCGUGGCGGGCGCCGCGCCACGCCGGGCCCUUUGGGGGAAUACUAAUUCCACUACAAGAUAAAUCAUAAUUUGAC
rnacentral:lncRNA from 1 species